rnacentral:rRNA from 1 species
GACGAACGCUGGCGGCGUGCUUAACACAUGCAAGUCGAACGCUGAAGCUUGGUGCUUGCACUGGGUGGAUGAGUGGCGAACGGGUGAGUAAUACGUGAGUAACCUGCCCUUGACUCUGGGAUAAGCCUGGGAAACUGGGUCUAAUACUGGAUACGACAUGCCACUGCAUGGUGGUGUGUGGAAAGGGUUUUACUGGUUUUGGAUGGGCUCACGGCCUAUCAGCUUGUUGGUGGGGUAAUGGCCUACCAAGGCGACGACGGGUAGCCGGCCUGAGAGGGUGACCGGCCCCCCGGGGCCCUGACGCCGGCCCCGGACCCACCGGGGGGCCACGGGGGGGGAUUUUCACACAGGGGCGGAACCCGGGUGCAAGCGCCCCGGGGGGGGGUAGCCGGCCUUUGGGUUGGUACCCCCUUUCCGGCGGGAAAAAGGGGGGGGGCCGGUGCCGGCCAGAAGACCCCCCGCUAACUUCCGC